rnacentral:rRNA from 1 species
AUGGCGACCGGCGCACGGGUGCGUAACGCGUAUGCAACCUACCUGUAACAGGGGGAUAACACUGAGAAAUCGGUACUAAUACCGCAUAACACUAUGAGAGGCAUCUCUUGUGGUUGAAAGUUUCGGCGGUUACAGAUGGGCAUGCGUUGUAUUAGCUGGUUGGCAAGGUAACGGCUUACCAAGGCGACGAUACAUAGGGGACUGAGAGGUUAACCCCCCACAUUGGUACUGAGACACGGACCAAACUCCUACGGAAGGCAGCAG